GGAAUCUUCCACAAUGGACGCAAGUCUGAUGGAGCAACGCCGCGUGAGUGAAGAAGGUCUUCGGAUCGUAAAACUCUGUUGUUAGAGAAGAACACGAGUGAGAGUAACUGUUCAUUCGAUGACGGUAUCUAACCAGCAAGUCACGGCUAACUACGUGCCAN
rnacentral:rRNA from 1 species